GGGUUUGUUGGGUAAGGUGCUGACAGAAGAGAGUGGGCACACAUAGGUCCUAGCAUUUCCUGUGUGUGGAUCGCUGCGUGCCCAUAUCUCUUACUGUCAGCUCUAAACAGACGGACGGGCCU
rnacentral:pre_miRNA from 1 species